CCUACGGGUGGCAGCAGUAGGGAAUAUUGCACAAUGGGGGAAACCCUGAAGCAGCAACGCCGCGUGGAUGAUGAAGGUUUUAGGAUCGUAAACUCAUGUUGUGAGAGAAGAUAAUGACUGUAUCUCACUAAUCACCACCGGCUAACUACUUGCCAGCAGCCGCGGGAAUACGGAGGGUGCAAGCGUUACUCGGAAUCACUGGGCGUAAAGGGUGCGGAGGCGGGCUUGUAAGUCAGAUGUGAAAGCCUGUAGCUUAACUACAGGACUGCAUUGGAAACUAUGAGUCUAGAGUGUGGGAGAGGGAAGUGGAAUUCUUGGUGUAGGGGUAAAAUCCGUAGAUAUAAAGAGGAAUACUCAUGGCGAAGGCGACCUACUGGAACAUUACUGACGCUCAUGCACGAAAGCGUGGGGAGCAAACAGGAUUAGAUACCCUUGUAGUC
rnacentral:rRNA from 1 species